AGCGAAGCUGGUUGAUAAAUGAACCGUUUGUCGUAUCCGGUCGGCAAAACUCCGAACACAUCUUCCAUUUUUAAGAAUUACUUCAGUGCUGUUCUUUUGCUGUUCGCCAGCAGCAGCAGCCAUCUUCUUUGUUUUCAAGU